rnacentral:rRNA from 1 species
CACGUAGGGUGCGAGCGUUGUCCGGAAUUAUUGGGCGUAAAGAGCUCGUAGGCGGUGUGUCGCGUCGGCCGUGAAAACCUGCAGCUUAACUGUGGGCUUGCGGUCGAUACGGGCAUCACUGGAGUUCGGCAGGGGAGACUGGAAUUCCUGGUGUAGCGGUGAAAUGCGUAGAGAUGCGGAAGAACACCAGUGGCGAAGGCGGUCAACUGGCCUCAUAUUGACACUCAGACGCGAAGGCAUGGGUAGCGAACGGG